GAGCCCGGGGAAAGGGUCCAGGACCUGUGUCCGAAGCUCCCGCACCUCCCUCUGCAGCUCCUGCGCCUCCAGCAUCUCGGUCUCUGCACCUGCAGCAUCUCGGCAGGGCUCCAUCCUGAGCAGCUCUGUAUGUCACCGAGGCGCUGGCAAGGGACAGCCACACACCCUGGCAGAGCGUCGUGGUGGCAGCACGAGGUACACGGCUGUGAGACAGAGUGGAUCAGCUGUCUUUUAAUGGCUGCUUGUUAUUUCCUGCACUCAGAGGUCAAACUCAGGACUGCUCGGACACUGGAAGUGCCGUGGGUGCCGGAGCUGUGCUGGGAAGUUGUGGGUGCUGAGGA
rnacentral:lncRNA from 13 species